rnacentral:rRNA from 1 species
GCUACUUUUGCCGGCGAGCGGCGGACGGGUGAUUAAUGCCUGGGAAAUUGCCCAGUCGAGGGGGAUAACAGUUGGAAACGACUGCUAAUACCGCAGACGCCCUACGGGGGAAAGCAGGGGACCUUCGGGCCUUGCGCGAUUGGAUAUGCCCAGGUGGGAUUAGCUAGUUGGUGAGGUAAUGGCUCACCAAGGCGACGAUCCCUAGCUGGUCUGAGAGGAUGAUCAGCCACUCUGGAACUGAGACACGGUCCAGACUCCUACGGGAGGCAGCAGUGGGGAAUAUUGCACAAUGGGGGAAACCCUGAUGCAGCCAUGCCGCGUGUGUGAAGAAGGCCUUCGGGUUGUAAAGCACUUUCAGCGAGGAGGAAAGGUCAGUAGCUAAUACCUGCUGGCUGUGACGUUACUCGCAGAAGAAGCACCGGCUAACUCCGUGCCAGCAGCCGCGGUAAUACGGAGGGUGCAAGCGUUAAUCGGAAUUACUGGGCGUAAAGCGCACGCAGGCGGUUGGAUAAGUUAGAUGUGAAAGCCCCGGGCUCAACCUGGGAAUUGCAUUUAAAACUGUCCGGCUAGAGUCUUGUAGAGGGGGGUAGAAUUCCAGGUGUAGCGGUGAAAUGCGUAGAGAUCUGGAGGAAUACCGGUGGCGAAGGCGGCCCCCUGGACAAAGACUGACGCUCAGGUGCGAAAGCGGUGGGGGAACAAACAGGAUUAGAUACCCUGGUAGUCCACGCCGUAAACGAUGUCGAUUUGGAGGCUGUGUCCUUGAGACGUGGCUUCCGGGAGCUAACGCGUUAAAUCGACCGCCUGGGGAGUACGGCCGCAAGGUUAAAACUCAAUGAAUUGACGGGGGCCCGCACAAGCGGUGA